AUGAUCUGUUGAUAACAAAUUAAAGCCACUGUACCAAGCCAUUAGUUCACUUUGUUACUUCCAGCUUUCCAGUUAUCAAAAAAAUGGAAUAAGGUCUUGAAGACUAAGACCUGGGAUGGGUAACUUCUGCUGAGCUGACAGUCUGGUACAGCAGGAGACCCAGAUGUCAGGUGCGACUGAAGAAACUGGACAACUUGUGGAUAGAAUGAGGGCCUCGUGGAUAAAUUUGAGGAUAAGAAAAAAAAAUACUGUGAAUGUGUACAUUAUCUACUAUAUAUAUACGUAAAAGACAAAGUGUGCAAAUUAUGGAUACAUUUAUAGAAAUUGCUAAAAAUGGUAAUGUAGAUCUAUAUUUAUUGAAACGGAAAGAUGCAGAAGAUGGAUUUCUGUGUGAAAAAUAGUUCAUUUAAAAAACUAUAUUCUCUGUGAAUUUGAAGACUCUGCAUUCCAAGUACUGUUGAAUUUCUCUGAGUGCUGAAUACAGUUAAUUUUUAUGCUCUUUUAUUUACCUUUUUAUGGAAACUAAAUUUUUUUUUACAAUGAGAAGUCAAUAUUUUACCAUCGCAAACAGCAAUAAAACUCUUCCGUUAUAAUAAGAGGGAGUGCAGGUUGCAGAGGGGAGGCGAGGAUGGUGGCAGUUGCUGGAUGCAGGAAGGGACCAAACAGAGCAAGUGUGAGAAGGUGUUGCAUGGAAAGCAAGGCAUUAGCCCAGGGCCGUAGAAGAAAGAGAAAUGAGAGAGGGGCGGCAAGAAUGGCUAAGGACUUUUCUUCUAUUGCCAGUUUCUUCUGUACUUUUGCCCAGAUCAAUAGAGGAAGUCAAAAGAAAAACAAAAAUGAAAACAUGCAAAUGGCAACUUUCGGUGGUAACAUUUCAUUCAGCUUCUCUGCCUUCUCUGGACUAGUGGAUGGAGUGGAAAUUUAUGGGCUCCCAGUUCCUAUCAUGAGCAGCUGGAGAUCUCAACUUCAUCUUGGAGCCCUACCUCACAAGAGCAUUUCAAGUUCUCAAGGCGUGUCCCAUGGCUGGAAUGAUGUGCUUCACAGAGAAAGGUUAAGGAAACAAACAUUCACCUUCAGUGUUGGAAUCUACGGAAGCAAAUACCAACUAAAACAUGACCAAAAGUCAAUUGAAGGAGAAACAGAACAGAUUGGAAUUCCUUGUGGCCCCCCUCCUGGUUUCUUUGAGGCCCCAGGCAAGUGAGCAUGUGCUAAUUUGCAUGGUUGACUAAAUGGCAUGCUUAGACCCCAAAUUUGCAUCUCUGCUUGGGUUCAAAAGUGGGUCCUGGAGCCAGUUUCCCUUGGCUCCUCUGUUAUUUCCCAUUCGCUAAGUCAAACCCCUUUGGGAGCGCUGCUCACCAGGGUAUAGAGAAGUGCAGAGAAGCAAUAAAGGCUGAGCCCCGUUCUUGCUCUAAUGUGGG
rnacentral:lncRNA from 1 species